rnacentral:lncRNA from 1 species
GUUUGGAAGGUUUAUAUGUAGAUGUUGGGAACGAUGUACGUUGGUGUUUUGCAAACUCACAUAUUUCACAUUGACUACGAACGAAAUUUUUAUUCAUAAAAAUUGAAGGAAAUACACGUUUUAGGUACUGAAAGUUUGUAUGACCCAUUCUAAAAUGCCAUAACAAAAUAUCACUAUUUCUAGGAACAGAUGCAGAAUCACAAAUUGUAACUUGACGCUGUUUACUUACAUCAGUCUCGUCAAAAUAGUAGAGUCCUUCACUUUUCUUAGCACUGUCAAUCGUCUUCCCUGAUGUAGUUCCUGAAAAACACAAUAUGAUGGGAAAAAAAAUUAGCAGAACAAUUUGAAUUUUUCGCUAAUUGGCUUAUGGAGAAUAAAUUACACGACAAUUUUGGAACAUGAAGGACAGAUUCUAAAGUUAUGGAAUCAGAAAUUUUGAUACUCCUUUUUCCUGCAACCGAUUACAGUGAUCCAUCUGCAAUUUUAACUUUCAGAUUCCCGACACAGGUGGAAUAUGUUGAGAACAGAUAGUAAGAGUCCGUCAUGUGAUCAGAUGCUCCAGAGUCAAUGAUCCGAGGGAUUUUAGAUUGAGAGAUGGAUUGUAAAGCUCUUAAAAAAUUACCUCUGUGCGCUAGCGAGUUAGAGGGAUUUUUUAUGGAUGUUUAACUUAACGAUUGGAGGCUAGAAAUCAUUUUGUAAAGUUGCUCCAUUUGUUCGGGAUUGAAUGCAUCACUAGACUCGGAUUUUCCCGUUUGGUAAUCAACUGACGCCUGGUAACCACGAUUUUUAUUAUUUUGUCUUGGCUUCCAAUUACUUGGUUUCCCAUGUAGAUCCCAACAUGUAUCUUCUUUAUAUCCUGAUUUUCGACAAUGCUCAUACCACAAUCUACUUCAUUGUUGUUUUGAGCCCAGCCUGGCUGGGGCUCCUUUAGAAUAUAGGCAUGUUAUCCAAAGCCCAUUACCCGAAUCAUUUGUGCCAUUAUUUAAGCCCACUUCGUUAUUAAAUUUACUGGCCCAUUACUUCCAUUGGCUGGCCCAAUAUUAGGAACUCCAGAUUGAUUAGACUUCAGCCCAUAGUUAGACAGCCUGUAUUUGUUGGAGAUCAAUCCAGAUCCUUCCAUCACCGACGACUCAUACACACCAGAGUUGCCCAACAUGAUUUUCGUCCAAUCUUCUUCUCUGCAAAUGCUUCUGGCGGCGAGGGAAGAGGACGUCGCCCAAGUAUUUUGCCUAAAACCUCGUCAAGGUCGCGAUGGAGGCCUGCUAGGAAUUCAAAUACCCUUUCUGUUUCCAGUUUCUUUGUUUACCGUACGCUGUCCUCCAAACACUUCCAUUCUUUCGCCAAACUCAGGUCCAGUUCUUGCCAUAGUCCGAUCAUCUCCAGGUAGUAAUCCGUCACUUCACGAUCCCCUUGCUUUGUUUGCCAUAACUUCUACUUGAUUUCAAAAAUUUUCGAGAAGUUCUCCGAGUUUGAAUACAUUUCUUUGACCACAUCCUAAAUGUCUCUUGUAGUUGGGAGAAAUAGGUAUGUUUUCCCGAUAGCAGGUUUCAUGGAAUUGACAAGCCAGGCAAUCAUCAUCGAAUUCUCCGACUUGCACUUCUGAAGGAGAGCCGCGUUGUUUGAGGCCGACAUCUUGGUUUCGCUAGUCAGGCGUCCCAGUUUCCCUUUCCCGUCGAUUAUUAGUUUUAUAGACUGCGUCCAUUCUCUGUAGUUUCUGCCAUUUAAUUUCUCUAUCGAGAGUUGGAAAGCUAAAUUUUCGAUCCCUUUUGUAUUCAUGGUAGAGAUGGCUUCUACCUCUGAAUCAGAGAUUAUGGAGCCCCUAUCUAUCGUGGCUGAUUCAGUCAUGUAUUGGCUAGGUUAGAAACAAACCUGCUCUGAUAUCAUGUGGGAAAACUAAUUUCAUUAAUUUCUGAUAAUUGGUACAAUGAGGGAAUACAAUUUAUAAUAG